CCAUGUUAAUAGAACUUUAUUGAAGGGAAGAAAGGCUAAGGUUUACAAUAUAAUCUGAAAAGCAUAAAACUAACUAAAACAAGAGUAGGCUAUAUAUACAUAGCCAAUAACCUAAAGGUCCAUAAACUAAAGGCCCAAUAACAUAUGGGCUAACAACUACUAGUUCAACUGCUAGUUGAUAGGAGAGAACACAAACCUAUUAGAGUAUAUUACAUUGCCAAUUAACAGAGUUGGCAAUAUUUUGUUGUGUCUCCAGACUGGAUAGAGGUGAUGAAUCCGCAGAAUCUUUCUAAGGUGGAGAAAUAAUUUUUAUUUCAUCCUCUCACCAUAUUGAUUUGGAUAACAAAAGGAUCUUGCCCACACAGAGUUGUGUUAUCCAAAUAAGGAUCUUGCCCACACAACAUUGUGUUUUUCCGGGCACAUUUCGAUGGUGAAGAUUGGGUCCAACAAGGGUGUCUCCAUCUUUUCUUGUGAUUGGAAAACUUCUACCAGUCAAUAAAAGUAUGAUUUGAUCAGUGCGUAAGUUAUCUAUAAUAAGAUAAAAACUGGCUCUAUGUAGCUUAAAAGAGUAACAAAGGGGAAAUUCACGAGGAGAGAAGAUCCAGAUUCCUAAUUAAUUUGGUGUUUAACAAGGCCACAUCAAUCAUGAACUUGAUGAGCUUGAAAGGUAUAGCUACUCUCUUUUUCCUGCUAAAUUGUCUUCCCAGUACAUUAGUGAAUUGGUUUUCUGAAUAUGUUUGUGUGCCCUUUCCGCAGCACAAGCAAAUGAUCAUACUAAUUCCUAAAAAAUGAGAACAUUGAAACGCAAUAAAUUUGAGAGAAGAAUACUUGUUUCCUGUUGUUGUUCAUCAUGGUGAAAUUGGGUUGAAGUUCGACAACAUUGGUGCUCUGGAUAGCUUAAUGGAUACACUUGGAGUUAGUGAUGCUCCUCAGAAGCUUGUGCUAUUUGCACGGGCAGCUCAGGAAGCUAUUAGGUUUUUAUCAUUUACAACCCAAAUUGACUCACUUAUACCUUUGAAUUCUGCAACACAGGUACCAAAAACCUCAAAAAAAAACUUAUGGUGGUGCAAGGACCUCAAUUAAAAGGGACAAACAAGUUUUCCAAUUAAGUGAGGGUAAUUCAAGUUUUAAAAAUAAAGUGAAAGGGACAAAAAAAUUUCAGUGUAUUUUUAAAUAUUUUCGUUCCAACAACCUUGCGAAGUUGUUCAACAACUGUGUGAAGUUGUUCGACAACUGUCCUAGUUGUUUAAGCAACUUUAUUUUUUUAACUUAAUAACAUUGUGGAACCCACUUGUCCCCUUUUUUUAGUUAAAGAAUUGGGAGGGUCUAUGAACUCAUUUUUCUCGGUGGGGCAAACUCUUAUACAUUUAAAAAAAUUUCAUAGUCAUUUUCUGUUUAGGCUGCUAAGAUUAGCAUUACUUCUAGGCCCUGCAAUGUACCUGGAACUAGUUUCAGCUUAAACAAUUAAAGAAAGAAAGUGCACUAACUUGGUUCUCAUUGAGCUUUAUCAUUUACAGCCUUGCACUAAUUUUCUUUUCUUUGGUCCUCCUUGCACAGGAAGAACCAUGAUUUGCCAAGACUGGUGCCACUGGAGCUCGCGUAAAUUUCAUCAAUAUCUCAAAAUCCAGUAUUUUUUCAACAGUUCGUUCACAAAAUACAUAAAAUUUAUCAGUUCUUUUGAAAAAGUUAAAUCUGAGCCCCUUUGUUUAUUGGCAAAGUGAGAGUUUUCAAAGCGUUUACAUUUGUCAUUUCAAAGUUGUUAAAGCUGGUCUGUUCUUUUUGACUAAGCAGAGUUUGUUCUCAUUGGUGUCCGUUUGGGUCAUCUUCUCCUUGUACACUGCAGAAUCUGUGUGUGAAUGAGCAUGUUGUUCUGUGGGAGGGUUGUUAAAAGACGUUACUUAUGUUCUACUAGCUGAAAUAGCCAAUACAGGCCUCUAUGUAGUAUAUUCUCAUAUUACUUGAAAGAUAUUGGAAAACCAGUGGACUUUCACAUUGUGUCUUAGCACACUCAUUCAUGAUAGGAGUAUUGUUCUUUUGCCGCGUCGGAACCAACAAUUCUAACAGGGAGAUUUUUUUUAAUACAAGAAUUUAGGAUUUGAACUUGAA
rnacentral:lncRNA from 1 species